rnacentral:rRNA from 1 species
GACGAACGCUGGCGGCGUGCUUAACACAUGCAAUUCGAACGGAAAGUCCCUGCUUUUGUGGGUUGCUCGAUUUUCGAUCUUGUUAGUAACACGUGAGUAACCUGCCCUUGACUUUGGUCUUUCUUCAGGACACUUUGGCUAUUACCGGAUAGUUGCUCCUGCUGCCUUGUUGUGGUUUGCAAGUUUCGGCGGUUGGGGAUGGACUCGCGGCUUAUCAGCUUGUUGGUGGGGUAGUGGCUUACCAAGUCUUUGACGGGUAGCCGGCCUGAGAGGGUGACCGGCCACAUUGGGACUGAGAUACGGCCCAGACUACUACGGGAGGAAGCAGUGGGGAAUAUUGCACAAUGGGCGGAAGCAUGAUGCAGCAACGCCGCGUGCGGGAUGACGGCCUUCGGGUUGUAAACCGCUUUCGCCUGUGACGAAGCGUGAGUGACGGUAAUGGGUAAAGAAGCACCGGCUAACUACGUG